GAUCAAUUCAUAUACCCUCAGGAAAUACUGGCUAUUGGACUGCAUAAUACCUACAUAUGAUUGCCUUGAACAUUAACAUUUCACAGCUGAGUUGCUCCUUUGUUGAAUGUUUGCAUGAACAAGUAUGGUGCAUUUAUCUAGGUUUAUAUUCUUGAUGCCAUGUUUACUUCUAGUAAUAAAUUUCAGCUAAUAAUUCGAUGUGGCUGUGCUUUUAUGUUUUUUUUGUGGUCCUUGCUGAAUUAGUUUUUGAAGUUCGUAAUGAGAGGAUUUUUUUUUCUAUUUCUAUUCAAUCCUUUUUGCAUGCUUGUGUGCCUUGUGAUAGUCAGCCAUGAUUAUCUACCAUGGUGUCUUUCUGCUGUCUUUUAAAUACGGUAAU